CUCACAGGAAGUCCAGCUGUGUGUCAACAUGAAGCUGCGUCACACUCUCUGCGGUCCAGCUUCAUACUGAAGGACACAGAAUGAAGUUGGCCUGCUGAACGCUCCAGAGAGGAUCAGCCAAAGACGUCUCGUUCCUGUGAAGCUAUAAGGCGAGACUCCCCGUGAUGCAGAGUGAAGAAGGAUCCUGGCUUCAGUCCUCUCUGUUCCAGGGCCUCCCUGAGACGAACCGGCGGCUCCAGGUAGUACUGGAUGUAGGACGCGACAAGAAAAUAAUAGCAAGCGCGAAGGUUCCCCAGUGGAUGGCCAGAGACUGUUUAGCCUGAAGGUCCUGGUGAAUCUGAACAGCCUCGUCUGGAUCUACAUGCUGCCCCUGCAUCAUAUCCCUGAAAUAAAAGCAUAUUCUUACUUUGUUUGUCUCCGUGUUCAGUAUUACGUUAUAUUAUUGACAAACAGCAACAUAAUGCUAAAGGUCAAUGUGUUUACACUUAGUGGUCACACUCUUAGGUACUCCUGAAUUCAGCCUUGACAAAGUUUAUAUGUUCAGCUUUUGUUGACGUUGUCAGACAGUAAUAAACUAAAAUAUUUUGUAAAUGA